ACGAGGAAUCAAAAAAAGGUUAACAAUUUGGAUCAUUUUGGAAGAUACAUACGCCGCGCUUUUCAAAGCGGACAGACGUGCCCUUGUCCAACUGAAACGAACACACGUGUCCUGUUGAACUUGAAAAAAGACGAAAUUAUUUUUAAAAAGGUAUAUUGUUGCUAAAUAAUAGAUUUUUUUUUAAUUGAAAUAUUUGACAGAUCAUGGUAACUCGUGAAGCAACAUCUCAGAAUUGAAUCGGCGAGUUGUGUAUUUGCUGGCAAUCCGAGCCUGCUUGGAUCAUUUUGGAAGAUACAUACGCCUGCGCUUUUCAAAGCGGACAGACGUGCCCGUGUCCAACUUGACAAAGGCGGAAUUAUUUUAGGAAAGGUAUAUUAUUUGUAAAAAAAAUAUACAAUUUUUAAGUAACAUAUUUGACAGACCAUGGCAACUAGUAAAGCAGAAUCCGAGAAUUCAAUCGGCGGCUGUAUGUUGACUGACAAGAAUAUAAUUGCUGUUAAUCCGGCCCUGCUUCUUGUACAAAUGCAUAGUGGGGAGACAUGAACAUUUUUCGAAAUUGCGGCCCUAUCCUCUUGGGAUUCUACGUUGGACAAAUUCUGAAAACGACCCAGAAAUAUAAUUGGAGGUUCAAACCCGUGCGAGGUGAGGUUUGAUAUAUGAAACAGACCAGUCAUGGGGACACGAGAUAUGCAAAGUUUCAGCGUAGUCGUCGCCACAUUGCUGCCAACACUGCAUAUAUAAGGAAUCACGAACCAUUCAGGAAUAUUGAGACUUAGACCAGUAUCUUUUUAAGUAGGCAUGUGGGGUAAAGAAGACGCAGAAGCUUCAGUCGGGUACCAUCGGUAACGUAGGCGAUUAAUAUAUUUCCACCACUACAUAUGUUGGAUUGGAAUUUCCCAUUUGAUGCUUUGACUGACUAAAUGAGGAAACUUGGAGGUAAGCUCUUACGGAAUUCUAUCGAAAUAUGUUUAGUAACAUAUUGGUGCAUUACUCUGUCUUCCAGUCAGUUUCACAUAAACUUUGCACGUAUUAUAGAAAUGCCACCUACUUUUUUUGUGUUAAUAUUAUUGAAAGUAGUAGCUGGUAGCUGUAGUCGUAAGCCCAGAGAGUCUCUGUUUUGAACAUAAUACACAAAAUGGGGCGUUCAAAAACAAUAGACUGCAUGC